rnacentral:lncRNA from 1 species
UUAUUUAGUAGAGACCCAUUUUUUUUAGGGGCUUAGAGGGGUGCUACGGUCUUUACCGUACCUUCCCAAUAAGUAACCUGAUCCCCGAACCCAGACUCAGGUUUUUCGCAGACAGCUUUUCCAAAAAAAAUCAGGAGUCCAUUUAGGGGUUUUAUUCUUACUUGUUUUCCCCUUCAAAAAUAAAUAAAAGUAAGUGGCGACUCCAAGUCUUUUCUAAAAAUCAUAUUUUUCACCUAAAUAAACGAAAAGCGAGUCUCGCCGAUCGAGUGGGAACGCAUCAUUAAAAAUGCGGGGUCCACAA